AUGUGACAGGAAGUAGAUGACGCAAUCACGCUUAGCGGCGAAAGUAAUUUAACCGCAAGCUAACGACAAAAACAGACCGUGGAAACUGUUUUUCUUGAGACCCUGAGACUACACCAACAAUUUGGAGAACACGUGAUGCAACACACAAAUAAAUAAUCCGGUAACAAGUUAAAUGCAACAAGUGAGGAAAAACACCUGUAGGAACCGAAAUCCGUCCGGGCUAAUUAAGCUAACACCUGAGCCAGGUGUAGCCUCCACCUCCUCCAUCACCACCACCGGCUGCCUCUACCACUAUGCUGGGGCCGAAUUCAGUGUUAUGUUCAGCAUCACCCAGUUUUAUAAAGGUUACCGGUGCUUAUUUAUGAGGUUAUGGUAUUAAAUACAUCGGCUGACAUAACUUCACAGUCCUGGGACUAAUGCUAGCCCACUGCCAGGAGAUCAGAUGAGCCACUCUGCUAAUCACUGCAGCUUCUAACUGCGACGUGUUAAAGUGCUUUUUAACACACACGAACAAGAAAGCUAAAGAAAAACUUCACACAGAGAGGGUCCAGUUGGUGCAGAUGACCUUUCAGGGAAACCUGCAACAGGAACAAUAACUGAUGGAUAUUAUAUUGAGAUGGUGACAGUCAACGACUUCUACUAUUUUUAAUGGCUGCCGCAGUGCUUUAAACAACAUUAUGUCUGAAGACUGAGCUUCAACCUUGGUUAUCAGAGAGGUAAGCCCAUGUUGGAGGCAUCACAUCUGCAAGAGCAGAGGAUGAAGUCCAGAGACGAUCAACAAAGACAGACAGAUGGUGUAGAAGCCUCGCUGGAUCUCCAGUAGUCAGCCGAGAACUCCGAGCCAGAGGACGUCACUGAGAUUUUACAUGAUUGACAAGCUCUGCUUGUUUAACUGCUGCAGCCUGGAUGGAAAUACCAGCUCUCAUCUUACAAACCAACAAGG